CCCUUAGAUGUUCUGGGCCGCACGCGCGCUACACUGAUGCAUGCAACGUGUUCUAUCCUUGGCCGGAAGGCCUGGGUAAUCUGUGAACGUGCAUCGUGAUAGGGAUAGAUUAUUGCAAUUAUUAAUCUUGAACGAGGAAUUCCUAGUAAACGCAAGUCAUCAGCUUGCAUUGAUUACGUCCCUGCCCUUUGUACACACCGCCCGUCGCACCUACCGAUCGAAGGUAAUGAUGAGCCCUCAGGAUUGUGGCCUCGUCGCGUCAGCGUCUUGGCUGCGAGAAUCUGUGCAAAUCCCUACCUUUAGAGGAAGGUGAAGUCGUAACA
rnacentral:rRNA from 1 species